AUGUUGAUGCAAGACUACUUCGCGGAGAAUCCUACAUAUCCACCGCACCUCUUCCGGAGAAGGUACCGAAUGCGCCGAUCCCUCUUUGUCAAAAUUGUUCAAUCUUGCGAGGCAAACUGCCGGUAUUUUACUCAAAGAAGAAAUGUUGCGGGCUUAAAGGGAUUUAGUGCAUAUCAAAAAAUCUUCGCAGCAAUGCGGGUGAUUGCAUAUGGUGUUCCGGCUGACUAUGCCGAUGAGUACCUUCGCAUUGGUGAAGAUACUACAAUUGAGUCUGUGCGUAGAUUUGCAAAGGUGAUCAUCCGUGUCUUUGGUCCUGAGUAUCUUCGGGCACCCAACGAAGAUGAUACAAAGAAAUUGAUGGCAACUAAUGAGAGGAGAGGUUGGCUUGGCCUGCUAGGAAGCAUUGUUUGUAUGCAUUGGACUUGGAAAAAUUGCCCCAAGGCAUGGCAAGGAAUGUAUUGUGGCAAGUCUCGUGAUGCAACAAUUGUGCUAGAGGCCGUAGCAUCCGAGGAUUUAUGGAUUUGGCAUUGCUUUUUGGUAUGCCGGGCACUCUCAAUGAUAUCAAUGUGUUGCAACGGUCUCAUUUGUUUGCUAGGCUUGCUAGUGGUGAUGCUGCUGCUUGCAACCACACUAUCAAUGGGCAUGAAUACACAAAGGGGUACUAUCUUGCAGAUGGUCACUACUAGGGAAAACCUUAUACACAGGAGCUUACUAGUAGCGCUUUUCAAAAGUCAAUGA
rnacentral:rRNA from 1 species